AAUAGAUACCCGGUAGUCCACGCCGUAAACGAUGAGUGCUAAGUGUUAGGGGGUUUCCGCCCCUUAGUGCUGCAGCUAACGCAUUAAGCACUCCGCCUGGGGAGUACGGUCGCAAGACUGAAACUCAAAGGAAUUGACGGGGGCCCGCACAAGCGGUGGAGCAUGUGGUUUAAUUCGAAGCAACGCGAAGAACCUUACCAGGUCUUGACAUCCCAUUGACCACUAUGGAGACAUAGUUUUCCCUUCGGGGACAACGGUGACAGGUGGUGCAUGGUUGUCGUCAGCUCGUGUCGUGAGAUGUUGGGUUAAGUCCCGCAACGAGCGCAACCCUUGUUCUUAGUUGCCAUCAUUUAGUUGGGCACUCUAAGGAGACUGCCGGUGACAAACCGGAGGAAGGUGGGGAUGACGUCAAAUCAUCAUGCCCCUUAUGACCUGGGCUACACACGUGCUACAAUGGACGGUACAAACGGUUGCCAACCCGCGAGGGGGAGCUAAUCCGAUAAAACCGUUCUCAGUUCGGAUUGUAGGCUGCAACUCGCCUACAUGAAGGCC
rnacentral:rRNA from 1 species